CCCUGAGACAAAGACUGUGCCUGUGGCAGGCAUCAGAUCCCCUGCAACUGUAGUUAGAGAUGAUUGUAAGCCACAUGUGGAUGGCAGGAUUCAAACCUGGGUCCUCUGAGAAGAGCAGUCAGUGCUCUUAACCACUGAAUCAUCUCUCCAGCCCCUGCUUCUGAUACCACUUUUGACCUUGCAGACAAUUCCACAAUAUAGGUGUGAGUAUUACCCCAAUCCCAAAGCUAUGGUGGGAGAGGAUCUUUGGUGGUUACUCACCGGUAUAGGAGCACCAGACUGAUUGCCAGGAGGACCCAGGUUUCCAGGGAGAGAACUGAAGUCAGGUCCAUCGUGGCUUGCCUGUCAGCAGUGUACCCCCCUGUGUUCUCCCUCCAGCUGUGUGUGCUACCCUCUGUAGGGCCUCUCUUCUGCCCAACGGUGCUCAAGUGUGCACAGUCUGUGGUGUUUAUACCCUGGGAAGAUGGUGGGGCCAGGGCACCAGCCACCUGGACUUUGGUACGCUCUUCAUUUUGGCAGAUCAUAAAGUUUGUGCACAACCUGUUUUGACCUCAUGUGUGUUAAUAUUUUGUGCAGAUUCAAUAAAUAAUGUUGUCAUUUCAGGAAAAUGACAGGUUCUUCCUUUUUAUCAAAAGUUCAAGCAAAUUCAUUGACAUAAAAUGCUCUCUCACAAAGGGGGUCUACAUUCAUAAAUAAAUAAACUGAAGCAAACAUUGUCUAAUCUGCAUACAGAUCUUUACAAAAUGCCUUUGUCCCUCUGUGGAAAACAUUUUGUCAUUUUUGACAACUUAACCCAGCAAAACAAUGUGGUGAUAUUUUAUUUGUGCUGAAAUGUGAUUUUGUUUGUAUGUU